CAGCAGCAGCACUGAAUGCUAAGAGCCAGGUGAUAUUUGCGUAUUGUAUUUUACUUUACCCUUGCAAUGAGCCUAACGUAGGUGUUAUCACUGGCCCCAUUUGACAGAUGAAGGGAUUGAGACUUGGAGUGGUUAAGUGGAAGCAACAAGACUCGAACCCAGAGAGUUAGGUUCCAGAUCCUGUCCUUUUGCCAAUUAGUUCUAAACCUCGUCACUAGUUUAAUUCAUUCUGAAAUUUCCCCUCUUCCACAAAGCCUUCUGUAGUAAACAGGAAGAGGAAGUUCCCCUUCCAGAUUCACUCAGGCUUUGCCGCCAUCAGCUCCAUGGAAUUUAGACAGCAGCUCUUGCAGGGGUGGACCAUGCCUGGGUGGGGAGCAUUCUACAGAGGGCUUGCUGUGCCCCUUCUGAGUCCCCAGUCAUUGAUACGUGCAGGGGAUGCAAACAACCUUUAAUAUUUGCAGGAGCAAAAUGCAGCGUGGAAAGUAAAAUCUAACACAAAAUAAGCAAAGCAUUUGAAAGUCAAAUAAAACUGACCUUUGCUUUAGCCACUAUUUGGGAUUAUGUGAGCCAUGGCUGGUGACUCAGAACCUGUUUGAUGGAUACCUAAUGAUUUAAUUAGAACCACAAACUUUCAGGGCUGGAAAGGACUGCACAAAUCACUUUGUUUAACUCCUCUGUGUUACCGAUGAGGAAACUGAGGCCCAGAGAAGGGUAAUGAUAUCUUUGAGGCCUCUUGGCCAGGAAAUACUGGGAGCCAAUUCUUCUGAGUCUCAGACCAUGCAUUACUAAGUAAAUAGAGGCAAUAAAAACACUUACUAGCAAUUCGUGCUAAGAAUAGUGGCUAAUUCUCAUCACAUCACCCCAGGUGGAUGCUGUUAUUUUCAUUUUGCAGAUGAGAAAACUAAGGCUCAAGGAUAUAUCAGCAAGGUUAUUGGACUGACCCACCAAAAGGUGGGGGAGAUUUUGACAUGGAGACACAGAUAUGCAUACACGGAUGUGUUGAUGAAGGCAGAGAUUGGGGUGAUGCGGCAGAAGCCAAGGAGCACUGGAUUGCCAGCAAACCAGCAGGAGGUGGGAGAGAGGCAUGGAACAGAUUCUUCCUCACAAGCUUCAGAGGGAACCAGCCCUACAGACACCUUGGUCUUGGACUUCUAGCCUCCAGAACUGUGAGACAAUACAUUUCUGUAAUUUAAGCUGCUCAAUUGGUGGUACUUUUUUACAGCAACCCUAGCAAACUAACACAGACUUAAGACAGACAAUGGUGACAUCAUGAAGCUAAGUUAAGAGUCAGACCCAUAAUUCUAUUAGUUUAAAAACCAUAUGUAGAUACAUACAGGGAAGUAGAAAUGGGUGGGUGGAUUGACAGAUAGACGGAAAGAAAGAGAGAUAUACAAAGAGAGAAAGAGAAAGAAAGAAAGAAGAAAGAGAGAGAGAGAAAGAGAGAGAGAGAGAGAGAGAGAAAUGAUAGCUCUGACUGCUGUGUAGGCACUGUGCCUGGGUCUUCCCAAGCCCAGGAGCUCUCCCAUACAGUGCUGGGGACAUACUAUUCGUCUGUACCGUUGAGUCUUGGGAAAAACAUCCCACAAGCAGACAAUGUGAUGUACAUUGCACAAUCACUAUGCUAAUUAGUCCUUGUGAGCAACCUGUGAUAUAGAUACAGUCAUGUGUCGCUUAACAACAGGAAUACAUUCUGAUAAAUGUGUCACAAGGCAAUUUUGUCAUUGUGUGAACAUCUUAGAGUAUACUUAAACCAAGAUGGGAUGGCCUACUAUACUUCUAGGUUAUAUGGUAUAUCCUGUUGCUCCUAGGCUACAAACCUGUACAGCAUGUUACUGUAUUGAAUACUAUAGGUAAUUGUAUUUGUCUAUCUAAACAUAUUUAAACAUAGAAAAGGUACAGUGAAAACACAAUAUAAAAGAUAAAAAAAAAUACCACACCUGUAUAGGGCACUUAGCAAGAAUGGAACUUGCAGGACUGGAAGUUGCUCUGGGUAAGUCAGUGGUAAGUGAAUGUGAAGGCCUAGGACAUUACUGUAUGCUACUAUAGACUAUAAACAGUAUAUGUAGAUACAUAACAGGGAAGUAGAAAUGGGUGGGUGGAUUGACAGACGGAAAGAAAGAGAGAAAGAGAGAGAUAUACGAAGAGAUGUGCAUUUA